CCUACGGGAGGCAGCAGUGAGGAAUAUUGGUCAAUGGCCGAGAGGCUGAACCAGCCAAGUCGCGUGAGGGAAGACGGCCCUACGGGUUGUAAACCUCUUUUGUCGGGGAGCAAAGCGAGUCACGUGUGACUCAUUGAGAGUAACCGAAGAAAAAGCAUCGGCUAACUACGUGCCAGCAACCGCGGGAAUACGGAGGAGGCGAGCGUUAGACGGAUUUAAUGGGGUUAAAGGGAGCGGAGGUGGAUUGUUAAGUCAGUUGUGAAAGUUUGCGGCUCAACCGUAAAAUUGCAGUUGAAACUGGCAGUCUUGAGUACAGUAGAGGUGGGCGGGAUUCGUGGUGUAGCGGUGACAUGCUUAGAUAUCACGAAGAACUCCGAUUGCGAAGGCAGUUCACUGGACUGCAACUGACACUGAGGCUCGAAAGUGUGGGUAUCAAACAGGAUUAGAUACCCCUGUAGUC
rnacentral:rRNA from 1 species